rnacentral:rRNA from 1 species
AGGACGAACGCUGGCGGCGUGCCUAACACAUGCAAGUCGAACGAGGUCCAACCGGUGGCAACACUGGUGAAGACCGAGUGGCGAACGGGUGAGUAACACGUGAGCAACCUGCCUCGAAGACUGGGAUAACCCCGGGAAACCGGAGCUAAUACCGGAUACCCCCACCGGGUCGCAUGGCCUGGUGAGGAAAUGGAUUCCGCUUUGAGAGGGGCUCGCGGCCUAUCAGCUUGAUGGUGGGGUAAUGGCCUACCAUGGCACCGACGGGUAGCUGGUCUGAGAGGACGAUCAGCCACACUGGGACUGAGACACGGCCCAGACUCCUACGGGAGGCAGCAGUGGGGAAUCUUGCGCAAUGGGCGAAAGCCUGACGCAGCAACGCCGCGUGUGGGACGAAGGCCUUCUGGGUUGUAAACCACUUUUCAGCAGGGACGAUUGUGACGGUACCUGCAGAAGAGCCCCGGCAACUACGUGCCAGCAGCCGCGGU